rnacentral:lncRNA from 1 species
UACUAAUUUAAUCACGAACAAAGACGGUGAAGUGUGCGGUUGGGGAGAGGCGAUGAUGUAAUUAGUGCAAUAAAUUUGCAAUUGUGGGUUACAGCUCUUCCAUAUUAAAGAGUAGGGAAAAGCCACGUAGAAAGUUAGAUUUACUGAAGAUAUUUUUACUGUGGAGAGGUAAACGAGUGGUGGAAAUGAGCACCGCUAAUCUUAAAUGGUGAAGUGAAAGAAAACCAUAAAUGGUGUAUUCCAUAUAAUAAUCAUUGUAAUCUAUGUGAAGACCCUCAGAAGCAACAAAGUGAAGGAAGUUACAGAUUCACUGUUUGGAAGCAAGAAGGGGUAAGUUCGUGUGAGAAUAUUCUAAUAAACCUAGUUUCAUAGGAAAUUUACUCUUUUCUGAUACAAUAAUACUAUUUUGAAUCUGUAAUGGAAUAAAUUUUGAAAUAUAAAUGGAUUUUCACUUACUUUUAAUUGCAGAUGAAUAGCGAAGAUAAAGUUUUACUGGUUGUUGGAUCUUGGGUCAGUGGCAUACAUAAAAGAUGGGUGUUCGAACCAGACCAUUCCUUCAUUGGUGAGCACUACAUUAACCUCUACCGUGAUAUGAACAUGUCUGAUUUAGUCAGAGGAGUAAGAGAGAAGAUAGAUCCAACUUAUGAAGGAGUCCAAUUGAAACUAUCUUAUCAAUACUACACUUGACAUUAAACACUAGCUGCAGAGUACAUCAUGUAUAUAUUUAAGUAUUAUAAUGGGAGCUUGGAGACAUGUAUUUACAUUCAUAAUGAGCCAGAUGAAAUACAAAACUAACUGAGGUGAUAAUAGAACAAUUGAGAGUAAUCACUAAACCCAAGUUAGGGGAAUAUAAACCCCAAGACAUAGGUAACGGAACCCAAACCUUUUUGAAAUUAAAUCCACCUGGCAUACUAGGGGACAUAUGUAUUUAGACGCUUCAUGAGUAAAAUCAAAUACAAAGAUAGGGGUAUGAUAAUAGAACACUUGACAUCAAAUACUAAACCCAAGAUAGGGAAAUAUAAACUCCAAUCCAGCACA